UCCCUGGUGGCUCAGAUGGUAAAGAAUCUGCCUGCAAUGCAGGAGACCUGGGUUCGAUCCCUGGGUGGGGAA
rnacentral:tRNA from 1 species